ensembl:rRNA 5S_rRNA 5S ribosomal RNA
GUCUAUGGCUAUCCCAUCCUGAAUGUGUCUGUUCUCCUCUGAUCUCAGAUGCUAAGCAGGGUCGGAUCUGGUUAGCAUUUGAAUGGGAAAGAGUCCAGAAAGUUGGAUU